GCCUGGGUGGCUCAGUCGGUUAAGCGUCCGACUUCAGCUCGGGUCAUGAUCUCACGGUUCGUGGGUUCGAGCCCCACAUCGGGCU
rnacentral:tRNA from 1 species